UCUCGUUCAGACGGGGGAAGGCGGCACCGAUCUGUGUCUGCUUCUCUUCCUGGGUCAGAUCCUCCAUUGUGAGCCGGGAGCCGGGACUGAGCAGCUGCUGCCCCCCCCCAGCGGGGUCUGUGCUGGGGAGAGACCGGCAUUAACCCCAUCCUGUGCCCAGCCUGGGUGGGGAAUUUCUCUGGUGUGGAGCCAGCCCCUGGGGCAGCCCCUGACACCAGCUGGAGACUCCAGGGGCCGGUGACCUUCAAGGACGUGGCUGUGUAUUUCACCCAGGGGCAGGGGGCUCUGCUGGACCCCGCUCAGAGAGCCCUCUACAGGGACGUCAUGCAGGAGAACUAUGAGAUGGUGACCUCACUGGCAGGUGAAGAGAUGCUGAGUGAGAGUGAAAAGGAGAAUCUCCAGUAGGGAACCCCUAAGCAAGUGGAGCUGCAUGGGACGUUAUCGGGAAGAUCUAAAUGGAACGUUUCCUGAAGCGUUGACCACGGAAAAUCUUGUGAGAGUCAUUGCAGGUCAGAGAGACAGCAGAGAAACCAAUUGUGGAAGGAAGUAAUUAAAUCCCUUAUUUGUGAGAAGAGGUGCAACGAUCUCAAGGAGACCACAGCCCAGCAGAGAAUCCACACAAAAGAGAGAAAAAACACACGCACAAUGCACGACAAAAACGUCAGUUUGCGAUUGCACUUUAUUAGACACCAGAAAACCUACACAAGAGAGAAACUCUAUAAAUACGUUGAGUGUGGAAAAAAAUUUAAUGACAACUCGCACCUUAUUGGACAUCAAAGAAUUCACACAGGAGAGACCCUAUAACUGCAUUGACUGGGAGUUAGUUUAGAGACAGAAGCACGCUUUAUUUCACAUCAGAGAACCCCCACACAGGAGAGAAACCCUACAAAUGAAUUUACGGUGAGAAACAUUUUUUCAGCACUCACAUCUUAUUUCACAUCACAGAAUCCACACAGGAGAGAAACCAUAUAAAUGCCAGGUCUGUGGGAUAAAUUUCAAUCGGAGGUCGAACCUAGUUUGAUAUCAGAGAGUCCAAACAGGAGAGAAGCCCUAUAAAUACCUUGACUGUGGGAAAAAUUUUAUUGACAACUCCCAACUUAUUACACAUCAAAGUGCCCACAUGGGUGAGAGACCCUAUAAAUGCUUUGACUGUGGGAAACGGUUCCUUCAGAGUGCACAUCUUAUCGCGCAUCAGCGAACCCAUACGGGAGAAAUGCCCUAUAAAUGCUCUGACUGCGGGAAAAGCUUCAAUCGAAGUUCAAACCUGGAGAGACACCAGAUAGUCCACAUACGAGAAAAACCGCAUAAAUGCCUCGACUCUGGGGAAAAGUUUAGUGAUAAGUCACAACUUACUACACAUCACAGAAGCCACUCAGAAGCGAAACCCUACGUAUGCAAGGACUGUGGGAACAGUUUCAUUCAGAGCUCAGAUCUUAUUGUGCAUCAGAGAGUUCAUACGGGAGAAACACCCUAUAAAUGCCCCGACUGUGGGAAAAACUUCACUCGAAGUUCCAACCUUACAAGACAUCAGAGAACCCACACAGGGGAAAAAACCCAUAAAUGCCUGGACUGUGGGAAAAGUUUCAUUCAGAGCUCAGAUGUUAUUGUUCAUCAGAGAAGCCAUACAGGAGAAACACCCUUUAAAUGCUCUGACUGUGGGAGAUACUUCAGUCGGAGUUCCAACCUUGCUAGACAUCGGAGAAUCCACACGGGGGAAAGACCCCAUACGUGCCUGGACUGUGGGAAUAGUUUCAUUCAGAGCUCAGAUCUUCUUGUGCAUCAGAAAAUCCACAUGAGAGGAAAAACACCAUAAAAGCCUCCACUUGUGAGCAAAAGUUUCGUAACAAGUCACAUCUUACCACACACUGGAGAACCCAUGUUGGAGAAAGCCCUUAUGAAUCCCUGGACUGUGGGAAAAGUUUCCGUCAGAGUUCAGUUCAUAUUUCACAUUAAAGGAUCCACAUGGCAGAGAGACUGUAUACAUACUCCGAAUGUGUGAAAUGUUUCAUUCACAGCUUUGUAUACGUCAGCUAGUCCAUGCAGGAGAGAGACCCGAUAAAACAGUGCCUCUCAACCUUUCGAGACGACUGUACCCUUUUCCGGAGGCUGAUUUGUCUUGCCUACCCCCAAAUUUCACUUCACUUAAAAAUGACUUGCUUACAAAAUCAGACAUAAAAAUACAGAAGGGUCACAGCCGCUAGUACUGAAAGAUGGCUUCCUUUCUCAUUUUUACCCUAUAAUUAUAAAACAUUAACUGUAGAUUGAGAAACACUGAUACAGAUGCACAGGCGACUAGUAACUACUAAGGGUGGGGGCACAAUGGCAGCCCCCCCCUUGCCACCACCGCCACAGUCAACCCCCUCUUGACCAUAGGGCCCCUCCGACCACAGCACCCUGGGCGGUCACCCAUGUCACCCACCCUUAAGGGCGGCCCUCCUAGGGCCAGCAUUAUGGAAAAUGGCACUCCAUGGGAACUGGUAUUUUGGUGUUCUGGCCCCCGCUGCCUCCCCCAGCCCCUCCACCAUCACCCCUGGCCUCCGAUGCUUCCCCCAGCCCUCCCGUACUCUCUGGCUUCUGCUACCUCCCUCCAACCUUCCCAUCACCCCGGCUCCCGCUGCCUCCCCCGGACCCCUACCCAUCCCCCCCCAGUCUCUGCUUCCUCCUCCAGCCCAUCACCCAUCCCCCCAGCCCCUGCUGUCUCCCCUGUCCUCCCGCCCACCACUCCUGGCCCCUGAUGCCUCCCCUACCCAUCCCCCCCAGCCCUCGCUGCCUCCCCCGCCCCCAUCCCCCUCUUCCGGCCCACCACCCAUCGCCCUGGCCCCUGCUGCCUCCCCUGUCCUCCCACCCAUCCCCCCUGGCCUUUGAUGCCUCCUCUACCCAUCCUGGCCCUCACUGCCUCCCCCAGCCCUCCACCCAUCCCCCCGAUCCCUGCUUCCUCCUCCGUCCCACCACCCAUCCCCCCAUUGCCCUGGCCCCCCGCUGCCUCCCCUGGUCCCCCAGGUUCCUAUUGCCUCCCCCUGCCCCCCCCCCACCCAUCACCCCCGGCCCCCACUGCCUCCCUGCCUCCCCAUCCCACCCCCAGCUCGCCUGGGCCCCAUUGACCCCUCGAGCGCCCUUCUGCGCACCCCAGGCAGGCUACCAGAGCAGGUAACGGUGGCUGCCGGCAUGGAAGGGACGGAUUCAGCCGGCUUCCCCACGCCCCCAGUGCUGCCAGCCUGGUCUCGCUUCCCUGCUCUGAGCGCCACCCAGGCACAUCCCUCUCAGCCUACCGCCCACCCUGGCAUAAAUCUGGGGGGGAGGGCAUGUGACCCAGCAUGACCCCCCCCCCCAACACGUCAGUUAUGGAUAUAGCAUAUAGAGCAGUGUCAACAAGUCAUUAUCUGUAUGAAACUUUAGUGUGUCCUGACUUCGCUAGUGCUUCUCAUGUACCUGUUGUGAAACUAGGCAACUCUCUGGAUGAGUUCACAGACCCCCUUGAAGACCUCUGCGGUCCCCCAGCGAACCACGGCAGUAAAUGCCUUGAUGGCAGGAAAAGUUUCAAUCACAGCUCACACUCUAUUAAAGACCACACUGGAGAGAGAAUUUGAGUGACAGGGAAGCUUCAACAGGGCUCUGACUAUAUCAAGUGUGAACAAAUGAACACAGGGAAGAGACCUCUUAGAUCUUCUUAGCAGGGAGUAUGGAGCUAAUACCACCUGGGACGGUGUAGGCUCCUCCUGCAUGCUGGAAGGACAGUCUCCCCAUGCCUUGAUUAGGGCGGGCCAUAGUAAAAAAAACCCCAAACCAUCCAUAUCCUAAUUCCGAAAUCAGAGGCAUUUGACUACCUAGCAUCCAACUGCCUGGCUCAGGGCACAGCGUCUUUCUCGAAUUCUCUUCCCUUUUCUGCCAGCGGUAGAAGGGAACUCUGUUGCUGGAGCCAUAAGCAGCAAUGUGCUGGGCUGAAACACACCUUGCUGAGCAGGGCCCUGGGGCGGGAGCUUUUCAUUUCUGUCUUUGGAAUAAUUAAAGUAGACUUCAGUUUCUUAACCGUCCAGAAUCUUUUGUCUAGUAUAAUGACUAACAAACGGCCUUUGGUGGACUCGGAGGCUGACUAGGAAGCCUCUUUCAGGUGUUAAUUCCCCAACCCUGAGCGCUGCAGAUUCCAGAGCUUUUCAGACCCUUCCAGGAGUCUGUGACGGAAAAACCCUUGUGUACAGGGGAAAUCUUUUUCUGGCCGGCAUUUCUGUUCACCUGUCUCUUGCAGAGGCAGACAGUCACUCUGCUGCAUGUUUUUUUAAAAGCCGGUAGAGCAGUCGUGGAGAGAAACAGUGACCAGUUUUGCAAAAUGCUCUGACAUGGGCUGACGUACAGUGCUGUGUCAAAGCUAGGUAUUGACGAAAUCAAGCGUGAGGUGCACAGUAAGUGGGGUGCCACGCAAGCAUUAAAAACCCACACAAUGUGUUGUUAAAGUUACACACACCAUCCAGGCCGGGUGGGCUGAGGGAAUGCAGGGAGGUCACCCAAAGCAUCUUAGACGUGCCUCGUCAUACGCUCUCGAACUUCCCCUAGAGUCGAAACUCACUGUGCGCCUCUUGCUGAGCCCAGUUUAAAUCGGGCGAGAUCCCACCGGAGUCACUUGGGCCCCAUUCCCCUCACUCAACCCCGUGUAAAUCCGGAGUGACCCUCCUUGGCGUCACAUGGGGUUGAUUCUCAUCUGCCCCAGUGUAAAUCAGGAGUAACUUUGGUGUCACGUAGGCUGAUUGCCCUCUCUCUCAGCCUGGUACAAAUCCAGAGUCAACCCAUGGCAGUGCCUGGAACGGUCUACAGCAGUGUGAAGCACUUGUAGGGAGAAUCAGAUGCUGACUUCUGAACAUAAGAACGGCCAUACUAGGUCAGAUCAAAGGUCCAUCUAGCCCAGUAUCCUGUCCUCUGACAGUGGCCAAUGGCAGGUGCCCCAAAGGGAAUGAACAGAACAGGUAAUGAUCAAGUGAUCCAUCCUCUGUCCCCCAAUCCCAGCUUCUGGCAAACAAGAGGCUAGGGACACCAUCCCUGCCCUUUCUGCUGCUGCUUGUCUAACCCACGCCCACUCAGUAGGGCACUUUGUCCCCCCUUUGUUGGUGGCUGGGCCAUAUGGAGAGGCUGAUGAGCACUGGAUGAUAGCCUUAAGGUACAUCGACACUGGAAAAAGAGAAACUCCGGCAGCAAGUGUCAGCCCAGGUUCACUGAUUUGGGAUCACGCUACAGGGCUGAAAAUACCGGUGUAUAUGUUCCUGCUCAGGCUGGUCUGAGACUCAGCCCUCUUACAGCAGGAAUGUCUACGCUGCUAUUUUCGGCCCCGUAGCCUGAGUCAGUAGACCUGGGCUCAGAGACUCACCGCCACGGGGUUUUCUUUGCAGUGUAGAUAGAUCCUGUGGGGGUACGUUUACAUGGCAAUGUAAGUCUGGGCUCAUGUUCGUGCCCAACCCCCCCGCUCGCCUUCCGUCUAGACACAAAUUUGUCUGACUCAGGCCGGUAAGCCCUCAGGACCUGGGCCCAAGGACCUGAAAAGGGUGUGGGGGGGGUGUUUGAGUCCAAGUCCUGUUGAAACUUGGGGUUCACACUGCAUCAUUUUGCAGAGUGGACUUAGCUGGGGCCCAGGUCUUCAGAGUCAUGCUCGGAGAGUCCACCUGUGCUCUCCCACAAUCCCCUGGGCUGCUUGGUGUUUGGCCCUGGUGUCGGGUGUCCCCUUCCCCCCACCGUCUCCACUGAGCUGGGGGGGGGGGCCAGGGGGAGCGUGUGUGUGCUGGCACCUCCGGGUGCGGAGGGGGUGCUGCUGUGUUCAGGCUCUUGAAUGGUCUGCUUAAAGAGACAGAGCACUGACACACUCACUCCGGCACACUCAGAUUCCUCCCAACACACACACACACACGCAUGCGCCCUCUGUCACACACACACUCCCUCCUACAUGCACAAACACACAUGCGUACUGUUCCACACACACACUCCCCAACACACACACACUCUCACACACACUCUCAAUCCCUCAUACAUACACUCCCUCUCUCACACACACACACAUACACAAACGCACACACACACACUCUCUCUCUCAGACACUCCUCCAACACACACAUACUCUCCCUCACACAGUCCCCCCAGCACACACUCUCUCACACACACACAUUAUUAUUGUUUCUUCUUGGUGACUUCCUGUCAGAAUGUGCACGGCACAUAUAUUCGCUGUAAUUUUAUCCUUUCAAAGUUCGUUAAGGAUCACAAUGCUGUUCUUUUAGUUUUUUGACUGGUUUGUGCAUUUCAUAAUUUUAUUUCUGUCUUUCGCUUCAGAUUAAUUCUUUGAGUGGUGAGUUCUAAAAUGCCUAACGUGUCCCGGCUGGAGUAAUUCUCAUUAGUACUUUUAUCACCAUAUUGUGCUUUGUCUCAUAUUCUCUUGCUCCUGGUAAAGGAUACCCUUUGCUCAGACUCCCAGGUACACAGCACUUCAGCCGUUUCCCCUGGAACCUGGGAGGUUUUCCCUUCUGGAGCAUGAAUGUUCAGGAGAACUCAUGGACUUCCUGCUCAAAUCUAGAAAUUGCCCACAAAACUGGGCUUUUCUAGCGAUUCAGAUAAUUGGAUCUUCAUGGUGCUCUUGACAGGACAAGAAUCCUAUUUUGUCUCACAACCAGGGAGAUAUAGGAUCUCUUUCUAGGCAGGUUCUUGACUGGGUCAGAGUGCUAGCUUAGGUCAUUUCCUUUGCAGAACAGCACAAAUGCUUCAUUCAGGUAAUUUUGCUAUAUAUCCCUGAUCUUCAAUGUAUUCUCUUUCCUGACACUGGGAAGAGAUGUGGUGGUGUUUGUCUGAAAUGCAUUUGGACAAAGAGUUCUGCGCUCUCUCUCUUGGUUUUUCGUCAUAUCUUGGGGGAAGGAAGAAAAGAAAAAGAAACCCUCAAAUAAGAGCUGUUUUUCCUGUUGGCUCAAUUUUAUUCACGUUUUAAGUUUCCCUCUUCUUCGUGGAGAUUGGUUUUAGUAUUGGCUGCUUUCCUGCUGUAAUGGAUCAUAGAUCACCAGGUACCUAAGAAGAAGAAAGGUAAAAAUUAUCUGCCCAUCCAUUGUUUUCCCUUCUCUGAAGUGGGCUCUGGUGCUCAAUGGGAGAUGCCACAUACAUUUUGCAUUAAAUUCCAGUUGAAGGGGAUAUAUCUCUGUGACGAUGCUGCCCGUGGGAGCCAGCUGAGGGCACUCAAUUAGGGUGAACUGCAAACAGAACGGGGCAAACAAACCCCAAACGCUGGUGGAUAUUCCAAUACCUAGAUUUACCAAGCCAGCACAAAACAGCUCCUCUAGUACCUCACUGGUUACUCAGAAGUCCAAAUAAUGCAGUUCCCUUAAAGUACGCAGCCUCAGGCCUCCACCCAGACACACAUGUCAAACAUAUGAUGAUAAAUUCUGAAAAUCUUAUUUCAUCAUAUAAAAGAAAAGGUUCUCCUGACCCCAAAGGACCAAGCCCCAGACCCAGGUCAAAUAAUAACUUAGAUCUUACCCCAAAUACACGCUUACAGUCAAUUCUUAGUAACUAAACUAAAAUUUAUUAAAAAAGAGAAGGGAGAGCGUGUUGGUUAGAAGAUCAAUAUACAUACAGACUUGUGUUCAAUUCUUGAGGUUCAGAUACAUAGCAGACAUGAGUUUGUAGUGGCCAAAAGUCCUUAGAAAUAGUCCAGAGGUUACAGUCCAAUGUCCAUGUUCAGGGUAACUCCACUCAAUAACUGGGGAUCUCAAUCCUUAUGGCUUAAGGUUUCCCCCUCUUGAAACCCAAAGCAGAUCUGUCACCUUUCAAUGAGAUAUUAUAUUACACUCAUAACAUCACAAUCUCAAACCUUCUUUAUUUGCCCUAUGAAGCCCUCCAACAGAGAGAUGGAGAAAACUUUAGAUUCCCACCCAUUGGGAAUCUUGCUUUCCUGUAAACCUUCAUUUCCAUUUUUUGUAUACCAAAUGAAUAAGUAGGAAAAGUGUCCUGCCUGGAGAUGGCUAACCUUCUGUAAAGUUUAUUCAUCAGAACUUAUAGCUUGUCUUCUCAACUUGGGCAGUUGUCUUGAGAGCUAGAGAGGCAAAAUGGUCACAGAACACCUCCAUCUUCUGGCACAACAUUGGGAUCCUAGAAAAUUUUAUUUUAUUUGAUCUCCAUGUUCCUAAGAUGAAGUGGAGUAACCCAGUUGUAAUGGGUCACUGAGAACCAGGGGCUCACUUCAGAGAAGGAAAACUUACAGAUGGGUAACUAAACUUUCUCUUUCUCAAAACCUCAACAGUUCUUGUGUUUUCUUUCUCCUCUUUGCUAUUCCCCUUUGUUUUCUUUGACUCUAGCACUGGGACUGACUCUAGUCUGAAUUCUCUCUAUAUCCUAGCAGGUGAAGAGAUGCUGAGUGAGAAUGAAGAGGAGACUCUCCAGUAGGGAACCCCUAAGCAAGUGGAGCUGCAUGGGACGUUAUCAGGAAGAUCUAAAUGGAAUGUUUCCUGGAGCGUUGAUCAGGGAAAAUCACGUAAGAGUCAUUGCAGGUCAGAGAGCCAGCAGAGAAACCAAUUGUGGAAGGAAGUAAUUAAAUCCCUUAUUUGUGAGAAGGGGUGCAACGAUCUCAAGGAAACCACAGCCCAGCAGAGAAUCCACACAAAAGAGAGAAAAAAAACACGCACAACACGCAGCAAAAGCUUCAGUUCAGUAUGGAAAAAGAUUUAAUGACAACUCGCACCUUAUGGGACAUCAAAGAAUUCACACAGGGGAGACCCUAUAAAUGCAUUGACUCUGGGAGUUAGUUUAGUGGCAGAAGCAAACCUUAUUAUGCAUCAGAGAACCCACACACAGGAGAGAAGCCCUACAAAUGACUUUACUGUGAGACACUUUUUUUCAGAGCUCACAUCUUAUUUCACAUCACCGAAUCCACACAGGAGAUAAACCAUAUAGGCUUGUGGGAAAAAUUUCAAUCGGAGGUCAAACCUAGUUUGAUAUCAGAGAGUCCAAUAUAGGAGAGACUCACUAUAAAUGCACUGAGUGUGGAAAGGAAUUUAGUGAUAAGUCAUGCCUUAUGGGACAUCAGAGAACCCACAUAGAAGAUAAACCCUAUAAAUACCUUGAUAGUGGGAAAAGCUAUAGUGACAACUCACAACUUAUUACACAUCAAAGCGCACACAUGGGUGAGAGUCCCUAUAAAUGCCUUGACUGUGGGAAAAAAUUCCUUCAAAGUUACAAUCUUCUCGUGCACCAGCGAAUCCAUACAGGAGAAACGCCCUAUAAAUGCCCUGACUGCGGGAAAGGCUUCAAUCGAAGUGCAAACCUUAUGAGACACCAGAGAAUCCAUAUAGGAGAAAAAGUGCCUACCAGCCUCAACUCUGGGGAAAAAGUUAGUGAAAAGUCACAACUUACUACACAUCACAGAAGCCACUCAGAAGCGAAACCCUACGUAUGCAAGGACUGUGGGAACAGUUUCAUUCAGAGCUCAGAUCUUAUUGUGCAUCAGAGAGUUCAUACGGGAGAAACACCCUAUAAAUGCCCCGACUGUGGGAAAAACUUCACUCGAAGUUCAACGCUUACUAGACAUCAGAGAACCCACAGGGGGGAAAAAACCCAUAAAUGCCUGGACUGUGGGAAAAGUUUCAUUCAGAGCUCAGAUCUAAUUGUGCAUCAGAGAAGCCAUACAGGAGAAACACCCUAUAAAUGCCUCGACUGUGGGAAAAACUUCACUCGGAGUUCCAACCUUACUAGACAUCAGAGAAUCCACACAGGCGAAAAACCCCAUACGUGCCUGGAGUGUGGAAAAAGUUUCAUUCAGAGUUCAGAUCUUAUUGUGCAUCAGAGAAUCCACAAGAGAGGGAAAAAAACAUAAAAGCCUCCCCUUGUGAGCAAAGUUUAGUAACAAGUCACAUCUUACCACACACUGGAGAACCCAUGUUGGAGAAAGUCCUUAUGAAUCCCUGGACUAUGGGAAAAGUUUCUGUCAGAGUUCAGUUCAUAUUUCACAUUAAAGGAUCCAUAUGGCAGAGCGACUGUAUACAUACUCCGAAUGUGUGAAAUGUUUCAUUCACAGCUCACAGCUUUGUAUACAUCAGCUAGUCCAUGCAGGAGAGAGACCCUAUAAAUCAGUGGUUCUUAACCUUUCCAGACAACUAUACCCCUUUCAGGAGCCUGAUUUGUCUUGCAUACCCCAAGUUUCACCUCACUUAAAAAUGACUUGCUUACAAAAUCGGACAUAAAAGCACAUCCUCUCCCAAGGCCCCACCCGCCCCCACCUGUGGGGUAUGUCUACGCAGCAGUGCCCAACCUCCCCCUGCCCCCUGCUUCCAUCUAUACACAAAUUUGCCUGACUCAGGCCAGUAAGCCCUUGGGACCCAUGCCCUAGGACCCAAAAAGUGGGGGUGGGGGGUGGCUCUGAGCCCAAGUCCUAUUGGAACUCAUGGUUCACACUGCAUCAUUUUGCAGUGUGGACUUAACUGGGGCCCAGGUCUUCAGACUCGUGUUCUGAGAGUCCACUAGUGCUAUCCCACAAUCCCAUGGGCCGCUUGGCGUUUGACCAUGCCAUUGUGUUCUGACCCCUGAGCUGCAAACAGAGAAAUCCCUCUCCUGCGUUAGCUACGGCCACCGGUAAGAAGAAGGCCUUAGCCCAGUGCGCUGGUCAUGGGAUCACCGUCAGAUUCUGAUCAAUCUGCGAUGUGAGGCGAGCCAGACAUUUGACGUCAGUCAGAGCACCGGAAAUGACCCAGUGUACCAGAAAAUAGUGGGCAACCUGGCAGAGUUGGGGAUUAAACAGACCCAUGACCAGCGCAGGGAGCCAGGGCCCGGUUUAGGGGUGGGUGGGUGGACUGGGCACUGUGCUUAAGGGGGGUGCCAUGCUGGUCCCACCCAGCUGACCUGCCGGCAGCAAGCGGGCUUAGAGGCAGCCAGGUAGGCGCAGCUGCGCAAGGAGAGGGCAGACAGACGGAGCUGCAGCGGGGGGCAUUUGGACCAGCCUGGUAACUCCUCCGAAGCCGGGGUGCCCCAUCUCCCCCGCUGCCCUGCUCCACUGGGUCUGCAGCCACCACUGCUCCUGCCACCCCCACUCCCACCCCCAUGGAGCCACCCCAGCCAAGCUCGGGAUCUGGAGCCUGCCUCCUGUCUGCUGUACAGAGUGGGGGUGGGGCUGGGGGGCUCUGAUCUCAGGGUGUCCCCCUCCCCACACCUGCGUACCCAGGCUCUGCUGAGCUGGGGUCACGGGGAGCAUGUAUCUGCUGGUGACUCUGGGUGCAUGCUCUGCUUUCACUCCGGCACACUCACACUUCCCCAAUACACACGCACACACUGUCUCACAGACACACAGUCUCUCAGACACUCCCCCAGCACACACGCUCUCUCUCACUCCCCCAACACCCUCUCGCACACACACACACACGCAUAUUAGUAUUGUUAUUGUUGGUACUUCAAGGCACAUAUAUUCUUUGUAAUUUUAUUCUUUCCAAGUUCAUUAAGGGUCACAGUGCUGUUAUUUUAGUUUUUCAACUGGUCUGCGCAUUUCAUCAUUUUAUUUCGCUCUUAUGCUUACAUUUAAUUCUUUGAGGAGUGAGUUCUAAAAUGCCUAACUUGUCCUGGCUGGAGUAAUUAUCGUUAUUACUUUUAUUACCAUAGUGUGCUUUGUCCUUCAUUAUUUAAAGUGGUCCAAUCAAAUAAUAGUAUCCUCCUAGAAUGUAAAUUUAACUUGUAGUCACCUUAGCAAUGCCAGUUCAAAAAAAAUUAGCUACACACAUAACUGUAGACACUGUGCAGAUGCAGGUCACUUAUUUUCAAAUGGUAUUUUUAGUUAUAUCUGUAAAAUAACUUCGAAUUAGUAGGACAAUAAAUGCUGUUUCAAGUCUGAUACGAAUAGCCAUGAUGGAGUCAAAUGUUCGUGAGUCACGUAUGUGAUUGUGAUUGGUAAACAUAAACGCCAAAAUAAUUAGAAAAAUAAAUUCCUGUUCUUAAUAAAGGAGAAAAAAAAAACCUUACUCGCGUAUGUUAAAAUUAAGUAAAUAAGUGUUUAGUGGAGUAUAUAACAAUUGACUAAAAUAGAGUAGAUAAUGGCCGUAACACAGUGUGUCUGUCAGAGAAAGUAAGCAGAUUUUAAGCAGAUUUUAUUUAUUUUUAUUUCUCUCUCCUAAAGAUAGGCUGCAAAGUAUCACACAUGUGUUUCUGAUCCCUGUGUUAAAGCUCCAGAACUGAUCCCUCAAGGUUUGGGAUUGGGAAUAUCUUGCUGUAUUGUCUCCUGGUUGUUCUAAACUUCCAUAUAAACUUAAAAUGUGGCUUUAA